UACGAAGGGGGCGAGCGUUGUUCGGAUUCAUUGGGCGUAAAGGGUGCGUAGGCGGCGCGGUAAGUCGGGUGUGAAAUCUUGGAGCUUAACUCCGAAACUGCAUUCGAUACUGCCGUGCUUGAGGACUGGAGAGGAGACUGGAAUUUACGGUGUAGCGGUGAAAUGCGUAGAUAUCGUAAGGAAGACCAGUGGCGAAGGCGGGUCUCUGGACAGUUCCUGACGCUGAGGCACGAAGGCCAGGGGAGCAAACGGG
rnacentral:rRNA from 1 species